CCUACGGGCGGCUGCAGUGGGGAAUAUUGCACAAUGGGGGAAACCCUGAUGCAGCGACGCCGCGUGAGUGAAGAAGUAUUUCGGUAUGUAAAGCUCUAUCAGCAGGGAAGAGAAUGACGGUACCUGAGUAAGAAGCCCCGGCUAACUACGUGCCAGCAGCCGCGGUAAUACGUAGGGGGCAAGCUGUAUCCGGAUUUACUGGGUGUAAAGGGAGCGUAUCCGGCGAAGAAAGUCUGAAGUGAAAUCCCGCGGCUCAACCGCGGAACUGCUGUGGAAACUUUUUUUGCUGGAGUACCGGAAAGGUAAGCGGAAUUCCUUGUGUAGCGGUGAAAUGCGUAGAUAUUAGGAGGAACACCAGUGGCGAAGGCGGCUUACUGGACGGUAACUGACGUUGAGGCUCGAAAGCGUGGGGAGCAAACAGGAUUAGAUACCCUAGUAGUC
rnacentral:rRNA from 1 species